rfam:Picea glauca, whole genome shotgun sequence.
UUAAAGGUGUUUCUCAACACCACCGUUCUUCUCUUAUACCAUGUG